GGUUCGGGUGUUGGGGCCUGGUCCCGCUUGCAAAAGCUCCCACGGACCAGAGAAAAGAGGAGGAUGUCAGACGUAGAAACAAAUGGCGUGUCAAGUUUCGCAGGAAGAGAGGGAAGAGUGAAGCUCCGGGAGCCAGCCACGAUUAGUCGCGCCUUCUGUGACGUCCAAUGGCAGAGGUCAAAGGGAUUCCUGGGGCAACCUCGAGGGAAAGAAUUCUGGCUCCGAGGGCCGGUGUACAGUGCUUUAAAUAUGGCAGUGGUUAUGUGUGAAAUUAUCGUGUUUUUCUGUUUAACCUGUUUCUUGUCUCUUCAUCGCCUUUCUAUAUAAUGUAAGACCAGAGGCUUUAUGUAGUGAAUUCCCUGUAACCCCGGCUGCUUGGACAGAUAGGUAUUCAAGUAUUUGUUUCUUGAAGUAAUCCUCUGAAUUAACUUGCUCACAUGUAAAAAAUAAUAACGGGCUGGGAAACGCCAGUAAUAGCCGCCAAACGUUUGUUAGACAUUUACAGUGUGCCAGGGACUGCAUUUUACGUGUAUUAUCACAUUCCUCAGAACAGCCUAAUGAGGUAUAUAUUACUAGAAUGCCUAUUUUUCAGAUGAGGAAACUGAUGCAUAGAAAGGAUAAUUUACUCAAGAGCGAGGAAGUAGCAAGCAUAAAAUCCAAGUACAUUUUUUUCUGCAUGUAUUAAUAGGUACAAUGAAGUAACUUUUUAAAUUGCUGUAGGUAUCAAUCAUAGUCUUAAUUCCCAGUAAUUCACUUACUAAGAAAUAUUUUCUGCUUCUCUUUCAUCAUUCAUGGGAGAGAUACAUAUCCCUAAAUAUUUUGCACAUUUAAAACUUAAACUUGGGUAUGGUGGCUUAUGCCUGUAAUCACGGCGUUUUGGGAGGCUCAGGUGGGAGGAUUGCUUGAGUCCAGGAGUUCCAGGCCAGCCUGGGCCACAUAGUAAGACCCCGUAUCUACAAAAAAUAAAAAAAAAAUUAACCGGGCAUGGUAGUGUCUCUGUAGUACUAGCUACUCGGGAGGCUGAGGUGGUAGGAUCACUGGCGCCCAGCAAUUCCAGCCUGCAGUUAGGAUUACCACACUGCACUUCAGCCUGAGCGGCAGAAUGGGACCAUGUCUGAAAAAAUAAAUAAAAAAUAAAACUUGCAGGUAUGUUCUGAAUGUUUAUUGUAUGCAUCCUCUAUGAGGUAUCAUUUUAUUGGAAAUUAUUGCAUUGUCUACAAAAAUAUGAAGAACUCUGAAGAUGCCAAAAGAUAAACCGUGAAAGAGUACUAGAAGUGAGCUCCUCAAAAAGAUAAAGCUGAGAAGUGUUUCCCAAUUUUUCUUACUCAUUUAUGUAUGUAAUACUUUAUGUCUAGAAACUGAAUUUCAGAGCUGGGAGGGAACUUAAAAGUUAGUCCAGUUCUUUCAUGUUAGUGCCAAGAAAGCUGAUCAGAAAGAGAUUAAAUGACUUGCCCAAAAUUGAAUAGUCUUAAAUCUGAGCUGAGGCAGGCGUCUGAAUGUCUUAAAUUGGAGUUAAAUGUAUUAGCGUCAUAGUAUUAACAUCAUCAUAUUCCAUAUCUCUCAAAUCUGAUUUGAUUUUCAUUACAAUAGAGAAAUAAGUGUGAUUAGUAUUAUCCCCAUUUCCUUCACCGGGAGGCACAUUGUUUUAGUAUCAAAAGCAGCUACCUUGGGAGAAUCCGGGGCUAGAAACCUGACUUCAUUUCAAGUUUUACUCUUGUUGCACCAAAACCUUGGGUGAGUUAGUUUCUCAGCCUCAGUCCCCUCAUCAGGAAAAUGCUGUGUUAGCACUUUCUGUGAAGAAUGAUCAAAGGAGUGGAGAUUAUGGAGAUUAUAAACACACUUGACACAGUAAGUGUUUAAGAACUGGUAGCUGAUUUUUACAAAGUUAUGGGUCAUAGAAGGCAGUUUAGAGAAAAGGGCAGGCUUUGGAGUAGCUCAGUUGUAUUAUAACCUUGGCUUCUUUACUCACCUAGGACAUACAUUCUCUCUUUAGCUGUAGCUUCCUCCCUUCUGAGAUGGAAAUUAUAAGCCAUCUCACAGUGUUGUGAGGAUUGGAGCUCAAGUGUGUAAAAUGCCUCCUCUGUGGGCUCUCCUUGGAGAGUUCUUGUAUCCUAUUGAUUGUCAUCAAAGGAAAAAAGUGGCAGGAUGAUGGCAUAAGUGGGAAGAACCUUGAGUUUAAUAGUCUGAAAAAGUGGUUACAGGUUCUUGCUAUGCUUUUCCUCUCUGUGGUUUUCUGAACCCAUCGCCUAACCUGAAGCCUUAAACUUCAUCUGCAAAAAUGUUUUGUGGCAGGUGACUCUGAAGCAGAACUCUUGAGAUGGAAGGAUUGUCAUCUGAGGAAAAAAAAUCAAGAUUAAGAGAGGAGGAACUAGAAUGAGAUUCACAUACCGUCUCUCCUCCAAGGGAAGGAGAGAGUGGUGAUGCCUGCCCACUCCUUCCUGGGCAGAACAUUUGUAGCAUGGAACAUUGGAGAAUUUGCAGUCUGCUGACUUUCUGAUUUAGGAGGUUGAUGGGGAGGCCUUAUAAUUUGCAUUUCUAACAAGUUCUGAGGUGAUGCUUCAAGUAUGUCCAGGCAGAAGGGCUGCCUCACAGAGAAUUCUGCCAUACCACAUGGGAAUUGAAGUCACAGACAUCUCUAACCCUCAAGCCUGAAACCAAAAGACUGAAAACCAACACUACAGUGGACAAAGAACAUCUCUGAACUUGUGUGGGGACCAGUGACACAAGGACCUAAGGUCUCUCUCUUCUCAUCUUGGCACUUCAGAAGUCUCCCCAAUCUUGACAAAGCCCUGGAGAAAGGGCCGGGCCUCCCGUUGAUAAGAAUAUCACUGCAGAUAAAUGGAGGUUUCAAAUUGAAAGAAAGGAGGAGGGCCUCCUGUUGAUAAGAUUAUUGUCACUGCAGGUAAAUGGAGGCUUCAAAUAGAAAUACAUUUCAGUUACAGAAAAAAAAAUUAUCUUUGUUACACAUUUGAGUUUGCAGGCCUAAGGUUACUCCCGCUACACUAUCAUCUGUAACCAUAACGCACUCAACAUUUUAAGCUAACUAUAAGGAUUGUUGCUUCACUCAAAGAUCCUGAGGUUUUAUUCACUAACAUUUUUAUUUGGUGACUAUAGUUGACAAGAACAAAGCUGUGGGGAACCAACAAACACUGCAAUGCCUGGCAUUGUCACCUCACUAGAUUGUGAGUUCCUCUGGGACAGGGUCCGUACAUUUUCUUAGAAUCCCUCACUUAGCCAUUAGCCUGCACAGUGCUUGUACUUAGUAAGUGCUCAGUAAAUGUUUGUGGAAUGAAUGCAUGAUGAACAAAAUAUAUACUGAGGACUCUUGGUGUUGAUUCUUGUUGAUAAUGUAAUAGUUAAGAUAUGUUAUAAAUAUGUUAUAAAUAUUGUAUCAAAAUAUUGUAUCAAAAAUAUACUUGAACAGGCUGGGCGUGGUGGCUCACACUUGUAAUCCCAGCCCUUUAGGAGGCUGAGGUGGGUGGAUCACUUGAGGUCAGGAGUUCGAGACCAGACUGGCCAACAUGGUAAAACCCCAUCUCCACUAAAAAAAAACAAAAGUUAACUGGGCAUGGUUGUGGGUGACUGUAAUCCCAGCUACUCAGGAGGCUGAGGCAGGAGAAUCGCUUGAACCCGGGAGGUAGAGGUUGCAGUGAACCAAGAUCGCACCACUGCACUCUAGGGGACAGAGCAAGACGCCUCAAAAAAAAAAAUGUAUAUAUAUAGUAUAUACAUACACAUGAGCAUAAAGGAGCUUCAAUGUGAAGGUAAUAAUUUAAGCAACAUUUCACAUUUUGGACCUGUGUUGUUAGCUAUUUAGAACAGUUAAACUACUAGCUUGCUUUUAAAUCCAUUGUCUUAGUCAUUUCAAGUUGUUAUAACAAAAUACCAUACACUGAGUAGUUUAUAAACAACAGAAUGCAUUUCUCUCAAUUCUGGAGGCUGGGAAGUCCAAGAUCAAGGUGCUGGCAGAUUGUGUGUAGUGAAGAUCCAUUCAUCAGAGAUGGCACCUUCUCGUUGUGUCCUCACAUGGUGGAUGGGGCAACAGGCUCUCUUAGGCUUCUUUUAUAAGGGCAAUAAUUCAUGAAGUUUCCACACUUAUGAUAGAAUUACCUCCUAGAGGCCCCACUUCCAAAUACCAUCACCUUGAGGGUUAGGUUUCAACAUACAAAUUUUGGAGGUACACAUUCAGAUGAUGACAGCACUCAUAGGUUACCUUUCAUCUUUGGGUUCUCAGUGCCUGCUACAACAGCACAAGAACAGUAAGUGUGUGCUGAAUGAAUACAGAUGAAUGAACCUUUCCCCAUCCUCAGAUACUUCCCAACUGAGCUCCACUAUCACCAAACUUCUAGAGCACAUUAUUUUUUGCCUUAUGAUCUCGUUAGGUGGGUUUUUCUUGCACAUACCACACUAAUCCAGUGGUCCUCAAAAUUGUGUGCCCAUUAGAAUCCUCUGGAGGGGUUGUAAAAAUAGUUUGCUGGGUCCUAACCCCAGAGUUUCUGAUUUAGGAGGUUUGGGAUGGGGACACCAAAAUUUGCAUUUCUAACAAGUCCAGAGGUGAUGUUGAUACUGCUGGCUACCAACUCUACCUUAUAAACCAUUGCCCAUUAAACUCUUGAGGGUAGAGACUGUCUUCCUCAUUUCAGUAUCUGCUGAAGCCUCUGGCAUAGUACCUGGCACAUAGUAAGCUGUUGCUUUAAAAAAAAUAAAAAAUGUAACCUUUCUUUGCUUAUAUUCUAAAAUGACACCAACCAUCCUACAUGUGUGCUCUUAAAUAGCUUAUAUAUUAGAAUAAUGGAAUCUUAGUACUAAAGGCUGGAUGUGGUUGCUCAUGCCUGUAAUCCCAGCACCUUGGGAAGCCGAGGUGGGUGGAUCACUUGAGGUCAGGAGUUCAAGACCAACCUGUUCAAUAUGGUAAAACCCUGUCUCUACUAAAAAUACAAAAAUUAGCCCUGCGUGGUGGUGCAUGCCUGUAGUCGCAGAUACUUAGGAGGCUGAGGCAGGAGAAUUGCUUGAACCUGGGAGGUAGAGGUUGCAGUGAGCUGAGAAGAUUGUACCACUGCACUCCAGCCUGGGCAAAAGAGACUGUCUAAAAAAAAAAAAAAAAAGUAAUCUAGUUAAUAUUUCAAUAUUGAGCAUCAAGAAUUUUUAAAAAUUGGUUGAGUGUUUUCUACAUGCAGAAAGAUACAGCAGAGAGCAUAGACACAAUCCUUGCCCUCCCAAGCGUAUACCCAGCGAGAAAGUGAGAAGCACAGAGUAUGUGUAAGCAUAAAAAUACUAAGUUUUGAGAGUAGACAGCAACUAUGAAAAUAUUCAGUUAUAUCGAUGCAACUCAGUCUUCAUUAAUUGUUCUCAUCGGAGCACAUCUUUUUCACAUUCUGUAAAGUAACGCUCGGUAUGGGCCCAAGGAAUAUUUAAUAAAUAUUUAAAAAUGAAGUUAAUAAUUGUUUUGAAAGCCAUAUGGUUGAUAUUUCUUCUUAAAUGUAACCAAUAGAAACAACAUAAGGAAUUUGGCCUGUGCAUAUAUUUGCACAUUUAUGGUACAGGCAUUUACAUGGAGGUGCCUGUCAUUUGUGACACAGACUUCUCAUCAAGUUUCAGAAGGAACAGAUGUUUCUAGAUGGAAUAAUAUGGAGCUUGCCAUUGUAAGAAUCCUGUAAUAAAUCCUUUCAUAAAAUAAAUAUAUCUGAAUUAUCUCUUGUUAUACAUUUUCACUCCUGGAUCAUCUAAAGUAGAACACAAAGAUUGUUCAUAAACUAUUCAUUCAAAACAACUUUAUAUAAAAAGAAUUACUGUUG
rnacentral:lncRNA from 10 species